UACGGAGGGUGCAAGCGUUAUCCGGAUUCACUGGGUUUAAAGGGUGCGUAGGUGGGCAGGUAAGUCAGUGGUGAAAUCUCCGAGCUUAACUCGGAAACUGCCGUUGAUACUAUUUGUCUUGAAUAUUGUGGAGGUAAGCGGAAUAUGUCAUGUAGCGGUGAAAUGCUUAGAUAUGACAUAGAACACCAAUUGCGAAAGGCAGCUUACUACACAACGAUUGACGCUGAGGCACGAAAAGCGUGGGGGAUC
rnacentral:rRNA from 1 species